rnacentral:rRNA from 1 species
UUCUCUCUGAAUCUGCGAACGGCUCCGCAAACCAGUUGUAAACCAAAGCAAGCAUGUCCGUUGGCGGGCCCUUUCGGGGGCCUGCCGGUGGAGAAUAUAUGGAUACCCGUGGUAAUUCUGAGGCUAAUACAUGACAAUGUUCCUGGCUAUCGGGGCGGCAGGCCUGGUCUUCGGAUCGGGCAGGUUGUUCUGGUGGCCGGGGACGCGCGAGGGUAAAGCUUGGCACAUAUCGGGAAGGAACGCGCGUUCGGACCACCAUUUUCAAGGGUGUCUGGCGGAACUGGGGGCCCUCCGGGGCUUUCGGGGAUGCUGGGCGCCUGGUGGCUCUUGCGAUGUGCUUCUGACCUAUCAACUAGACGGCAGCGUAACGGACAUGCUAUGGUAACAACGGGUACAGAGGAUCAGGGUUCGAUCCUGGAGAGUGGGCCUGAGAGAUUGCUCAUACUUCUAAGGAAGGCAGCAGGCGCGCAACGUUCCCCUUGGACAAUGUCCGAGGGCGCUAGGGGAAAUAUGGAUGGCUGCCCUCGUGGUGGCUAAUCCAAAUGGGUUUGUCGUAAACAGGCUCUCGAGUAACAAUUAGAGGACAAGUCUGGUGCCAGCACCCGCGGUAAUUCCAGCUCUAAUAGCAUACGUUAAAGUUGUUGCAGUUAAAACGCUCGUAGUCGGCCAUAGGCGUUCUUAGCUCUCGCUGCGGUGCUCGGGUCUGUGCCCCCUUAUCGGGGGGCGCGCCGGGUGCUCGGUGGGGGUGACGUUUGCCAAGCGUGUUCGCGUCCGUUCUUUUGCUUGCGCCCUCACGGGUGCCGGUGAUUGAUUACAGGGCUUUCGCAGUUGUCCCGUGGGGUUUUGGUGCUAGUACUCGCUUAACUGUGGGGAACGCGCUGAUUCCAUGCGGGGCUAGGUCGUUAGCCUGGGGCCGGAUGCCAUUGGUCGUGAUUAAACUGGGGUGCUCAAUGCAGGCCUAACGGCUAUGUACAGCACAGCACGACAUUAAGCGAGGUUGGCUGGCCCCCAAGCGGGCCGGCUGGCUUGUACUGAAGUUGGGCAAAAGGGGUGUUCGUGGGUGACCGAAUUGCCGGGCGAGUGGUGAAAUACGUUGACCCUGGCAAGUCGUCCAAAUGCGAAAGCAGUCAUCAAGGGCACACCCAUUGAUCAAGAGCGAAAGUUAAGGGUUCGAAGACGAUCAGAUACCGUCGUAGUCUUAACUAUAAAUGAUACUGGCCAGGGAUAGGGCAAUGUCCAUCUCGACUCCCCCCGGACCUUUUGGGAAACCAAAGCUUCUGAGUUCUGGGGGGAGUAUGGUCGCAAGGCUGAAACUUAAAGGAAUUGACGGAAGGGCACACAAAGAGUGGAACCUGCGGCUUAAUUUGACUCAACACGGGGAAACUCACCAGGUCAGGAUACGCGGAUGAAGGACAAGCUGAGAGACUUUUCUCAAUGACGUAAGUGGUGGUGCAUGGCCGUUCUUAGUUCGUGGAGUGGUUUGUCUGGUCUAUUCCGAUAACGAGCGAGACCCCAGCGUUCUAACUAGGGGUGGUGGCUAUGCCUAUGAUAUAACGCCUGCUUGGGUGGAGCCUGCCUCACGGCGGGUGACGCCUUCGAGUGGGCCGGUCUCGGUAAGCUGCCGCUUCCUGGGCCCUGGCCGCAAGGUCGGGGUGCAACAUUCUUCUUAGACGGAUCAGGGCCAAAAAGGUCCUUGAAAUGGGUUAAUAACAGGUCAGUCAUGCCCUUAGAUGUUCUGGGCCGCACGCGCGUUACAAUGGCAGGGAAAACAAGUGUUCAUUUUGCAGAGCUCUUCCGGGCCCUAACGGGUCCGGUAAUCACUAGGCCCUGCCUCGACUGGGAUAGUCUCUUGCAAUUCUGGGUCUUAAACGAGGAAUUUUUAGUAGGCGCGGGUCAUCAGCCCGCGCCGAAUGCGUCCCUGCCCUUUGUACACACCGCCCGUCGCUGCUACCGAUUGGGGCCUGGCGGUUACGCGUUCGGAGGCUGCGGAGCGCCGUCCCUUA